AAUGUAAUCUCCAUUCGAGAGCUCCGAGUUGUUUUUCUUAUCAUAAUCAAGCUCAUCGAUCUAUAAAUUUUCAACACAAAGAUUUAAUAUUGUCGGAUGCCACCAAAAAAUUACAACAUGACAAUGCCACUCACAUUAAGAUCGUCCCAUUCGUUCCCAUUCUCUGACCGAUCUUCACGAUCUAAAUUUUCAUCAUCUGACCAAUCUUCUAUCCAGUCUUUCAUCAGUUCUCCAAACUCCAUGUCUACCAUGAUAUCAGUUAACUCCUCGUCCGCCAUUUCCUACAACCAAUAAUAUGUAUCAUCACAUGUGCAAACAUUAUCAAUGAUGAAAUAUAAAACACAUAGCACACGAUCACGGAUGUUAUGUAAACAACCGCAACCGAGGCCGUUCAGAUCUGCCAAACUUAGUAAGGAAGAUGGCCACGGCACCCGUCGUGAUCACUUUGAAUCGCGAGGAACUCCACGAUCUCAAAACCUAGCUAGAUCUGUGAUUACCUCUGCCGCCGGAUACCUAGGUUAGCCGCCACAUCAAAUAACGAUCCCCAUGGUGCGCACAGCCGACGGCAACCGACGCUAUGUGAACCCAGAUCACGAGGAGCAGUACUACCGGAACAAGAUCCACGAUCGCAUGCGCCGCCGGGUAGCUAGGUUACCCGCUCCGUUAGGUUAACCACUGCCACUGGCGCGGCGGCAGUUCGUUCGAUGUUGCCGCGAGCGAGACUAGAGGGGGGACGCGGGAUGCGGUACCUGUGCGCGAUCGCUCUCACGACGUUGUCGCGCCCGCUGUCCAACGAGAUCGCCGGCGAUGAGAUAGCCGUCGGUGGAGAUCUACUACGUGACUUAUGGCGCUGCGUCAAUGCUCGCGAGAUUGAUGGAGCUGCUCGCGUGAAUGAUUGGAUUCGGCAGGUCUUACGUGGAUGUGGGGUCGUGUGAUGUUUUUUUUCGAACCAGGGUAAUGUACGUAUACGGUCUGGGUCAUACAGGACUAGACAGGGCUUGGAUCUAGGCUGCGGCGGGCUAGAAAAAAUAAAUAAAUUCAUGGGGACAAAAAUACCCCUUCGAAAUUAGGUUAGGGGGGAGCUGGCUCCUUUUCCAUGGCGCCAACGUUAUCCACCGCAACGACGAUCCAAACCGUGUCGCGCUUCUUCCGCUCGCAUAAAGACUUUGCGUUACACCAUGGACCGCCGUCGCCGUCGCGUCCAAGGACAUGGCCGCGGGCGGGACCGAUCGAUAGAUGUGAGCAGGUGAUCGCCCCCUGGCCUGGCCUGGCUCGCUCUCUGCAUGCAGCACGCCCAGUCAUCAUCGAUCCCUGGGCUAUCCAAUCACAGCGCUCUUUGUUAUCCAUCCACGGAGACAUGAAAGGAAAGCGGGAGGGGAAUCGCGGAGGGCGACGGCGUGCCAGGAGGGUUCGCGCGCGCUCGAGUAGUCGCUUGCGCCGCAUGAGUGCUGCUUUCAGGGAGCCUUUGCUUUCACCGGAGGUCGGCGAAGGAAACGGGCCGGCCGCCGGGCUAGGGGCCAAGUUAGCCGAUGCAAGAUCCCAAGGGUUGUAGCUAGCUAGCUAGAUAUAUAGGGGUAUCACAAAUUCAAGCAGGGGUGCUUCCCUGCUGAUUCGAUCUGCAACUCGGACGCACUUGUACGAUCGGACAAGACAAAUGCAUCAUACUUUCCCGUGGCAUAUCUACGCAAUCAAAGUCUUCGUGGAAGCCAAGGCCAAGCUGUGACCUACCUGCAGGGACAAGAAGAAACGUCACGAAGAGUCAUUGUGUUGCUGGCAGCCGCACGUUACAGUGCUCUAGUGAUUGCACGGUUGCGCCUCCCUUUGGUCGUGCGGUUUAUGAACCAAACCAAACCUCAAAAGCAGCCGCAGAUUCCCAAUUCUCCAUCGGUCGAAACAUAUUAUGCAACUGCCAACUGCAAGUGCCUGCCUCGUGAGAAGUGAUUCCAAGGUCAGAUCGCCGAUGGAUGGAUGCUUGAUCGAGCCUGUGUGUGGGAUUAUCAUCAAUGGGUUUUGGACGAUGCGGUUCCUGCGAGCAAAAGCGCAAAAGAGCAGAGGAUGAGAUACGAGGCGGCCGGAGGAUUGGUGGUCGUCGGAGACGGGUAGCGAAGUCAAGCAUGCAUGUGCAAGCUGUGUAUGCAUGCAUCGUGCUCGGAAAGUGUAGAAAGGGAAAAGCGUUUGCUUUGCUAGGUGCUAGUGCUAGUGCUGCUGCUAGCUUUGGCUGGCUUCAUUGGUUUUCUGGAAGUGUUAUCCUCAGCCUGAUUUGAAUUAUAUAGUUGGUUGGAUUGGAUCGCUUU